GACGAACGCUGGCGGCGUGCUUAACACAUGCAAGUCGAACGGAAAGGCCUGCUUUCCCUUGUGGAUUGCGGGUACUCGAGUGGCGAACGGGUGAGUAACACGUGAGUGAUCUGCCCCCAACUUGGGUAUAAGCCUGGGAAACUGGGUCUAAUUCCCGAUAGGACUGCAGGGUGGUGCCUGUGGUGGAAAACGAUUUUCUAGUGGUUGGGGAUGAGCUCGCGGCCUAUCAGCUUGUUGGUGGGGUAAUGGCCUACCAAGGCGGCGACGGGUAGCCGGCCUGAGAGGGUGGACGGGCACAUUGGGACUGAGAUACGGCCCAGACUCCUACGGGAGGCAGCAGUGGGGAAGAGUGGACAAUGGGCGGAAGCCUGAUGCAGCGACGCAGCGUGGGGGAUGACGGCCUUCGGGUUGUAAACUCCUUUCGACCGCGAGGAAGCCACCUGGUUGGAAGGGUGGUGACGGUAGUGGUAGAAGAAGCACCGGCUAACUACGUG
rnacentral:rRNA from 1 species